rnacentral:rRNA from 1 species
UACGUAGGGUGCGAGCGUUAAUCGGAAUUACUGGGCGUAAAGCGUGCGUAGGCGGUUCGUUAAGUCAGCUGUGAAAGCCCCGGGCUCAACCUGGGAACUGCGGUUGAAACUGGCGAACUAGAAUCUGGCAGAGGGGGGUGGAAUUCCACGUGUAGCAGUGAAAUGCGUAGAGAUGUGGAGGAACACCGAUGGCGAAGGCAGCCCCCUGGGCUGAGAUGACGCUCAGGCACGAAAGCGUGGGGAGCAAACAGG